rnacentral:misc_RNA from 1 species
AACGCACAUUGCGCCCUCUGGUAUUCCGGAGGGCAUGCCUGUUCGAGCGUCAUUUAAAGAAGCUCAAGCUCUGCUUGGAAUUUGGGCCUCCGCCCCUCGCGGGGCGGGCCCUAAAUCGGUCGGCGGUGGCCCUGGCCCUCAGGCGUAGUAAAAUAUUCCGCUCUGUGAGGACCCGGGCCGCCCGCUCCUAAAAACCCACGCACCUAAAGUUGACCUCGGAUCAGGUAGGGAUACCCGCUGAACUUAA